rnacentral:tRNA from 1 species
GUCUUCGUGGUGUAACGGUAGCCCAUUCGGCGCGUAUUCGAGAGGUCCGGGUUCGAGUCCCGGCGAGUUCA